GAUGAACGCUGGCGGCGUGCUUAACACAUGCAGGUCGAACGGUGAAGCAGGAGCUUGCUCUUGUGGAUCAGUGGCGAACGGGUGAGUAACACGUGAGCAACCUGCCCCUGACUCUGGGAUAAGCGCUGGAAACGGCGUCUAAUACUGGAUAUGUGAUGUGACCGCAUGGUCGGCAUCUGGAAAGAAUUUCGGUUGGGGAUGGGCUCGGGGGCUAUCAGCUUGUUGGUGGGGUAAUGGCUCACCAAGGCGUCGACGGGUAGCCGGCUGGAGAAGGUGAACGGCCCAACUGGGACUGAGACCCGGGCCAGACUCCUACGGGAGGCAGCAGGGGGGAAUAUUGGCCAAUGGGCGGAAGCCUGAUGCAGCAACGCCGCGUGAGGGAUGACGGCCUUCGGGUUGUAAACCUCUUUUAGCAGGGAAGAAGCGAAAGUGACGGUACCUGCAGAAAAAGCACCGGCUAACUACGUGCCAGCCGCCGCAGUAA
rnacentral:rRNA from 1 species